UACGGGGGGUGCAAGCGUUAAUCGGAAUGACUGGGCGUAAAGGGUGCGUAGGCGGUAUAUUAAGUUAUCUGUGAAAUUCCUGGGCUUAACCUGGGGUGGUCAGAUGAGACUGAUAAACUAGAGUAUGGGAGAGGGCAGUGGAAUUUCCGGUGUAGCGGUGAAAUGCGUAGAGAUCGGAAGGAACACCAGUGGCGAAGGCGGCUGUCUGGCCUAAUACUGACGCUGAGGCACGAAAGCGUGGGGAGCAAACAGG
rnacentral:rRNA from 1 species